UUUUCUUUUUACUGUCCUUUCUAUUUAUUUAUUUAUUUUUGGUGAGGAAGAUUGUCCCUGAGCUAACACCUGUGCCAAUCUUCCUCUAUUUUGUGCGUGGGAUGUUGCCACAGCACGGCUUGAUGAGCAGUGUGUAGGUCCACAGCCAGGAUUCAAACCCAUGAACUCAAGGCCACCAAAGCGGAGUAUAUGAACUUAACCAGUACAACCACCGGGCCAGCCACAAGACUUUAUUUUUUGAGUAGUUUUAGGUUUACAACAAAAUUGAGAGGAAAGUACAAGUGCAAUGGGGAAGUCGCAAAACACUUCAUCAAAGAAGUUGAAUUUGUCCUGGUCCUUAAAGAAUUAAUUAUAUUUAGUCUUGCAAAGGAAUGACUAUUUCAUGAAGGAAAAAUAAAAGUCUGGGUCACAGAAUGUGAAUUAAUGUAGAGUUGUUUCUCUUUUCCCUUGCCAUAUAUGCUCCUUUCUCUGAAAUUUCUGUUUCUCUGGGUGUUAGAUGUCCAGAUGAGAGGCUGUCUAGGAGAGUGGUUAGGAUAAAAAGCCCCAGAGCCAUAUGCCUGCUUUGAAACCACAGCUGUCUUGUGAAUGCCGUUAUGCAAAUCCCACAGCCUCUUCAUGAUCCACUGGGCAUGGCAUGGGUCAGGAUGGAAGGAGAGCUGGCUGGGCCAAGACAGGGCACAAUAAGGAUAACUUGAAGACUGCUUGAGAUGGAAGGUUGGAGUUCUUCCAAAAAGUGAAGAUAUUCCGGUGCAUUGUGAUGUUUGGGAUUUAAAUAUUUCUGAAGAGUGUAAGUAUUUAAAAAUCACUGAAAAUAUCCAACUCUGAGUCAAGGUAAGAACAUGUUGCCACUGAAUCACACUUUUGAUCUUCC
rnacentral:lncRNA from 1 species